rnacentral:rRNA from 1 species
GUGAAGAUGCAGUGUACCCGCGGCAAGACGGAAAGACCCCGUGAACCUUUACUAUAGCUUGACACUGAACAUUGAGCCUUGAUGUGUAGGAUAGGUGGGAGGCUUUGAAGUGUGGACGCCAGUCUGCAUGGAGCCGACCUUGAAAUACCACCCUUUAAUGUUUGAUGUUCUAACGUGGACCCGUGAUCCGGGUUGCGGACAGUGUCUGGUGGGUAGUUUGACUGGGGCGGUCUCCUCC